CUACAUGUGUGAAUUUGCCUUCAUUAGUUUCAGAAAAGAGCGAUGAUGUAUCGGUCAGUGGGCGGCAGCACGAGACUCCGCAAACUAGUCUGUAAGCAAAGUAGACGAAGGCAUCGAGGUUGCGGCCUGCCAUCAUUGUUAUUUUGCUUAAGGGACUGAAUAUGUUUCAUGUAGAAAUAUUAGCAUUUCCCUUAUAUCUACCAAAACUGCUUGUUUCAAAGACUGCAGUUUUGUUUUGAUCCGAUGUGGUGUGCAAAUACAACCGUAUCUGCAAUGGGUUGUGGGGCAUUAACAUUUGUAACUCUAAUUUUGUUUUGACAGACUGUGAAAAGAACGUUGAGAACAUCACCACUCUACAGGAAGACACAGUCCAGUAAUGGGUGUCAGAAGUUCAGUAGUGAACGACAGAAACAAACAAUCCAAAUUACCUGCAGAACACCCUUGAUGGACGCUUCAGCUGCAUCGUCAGACUGGCAGUACUGAUGCAUUUACUGAGACGGGACGUGAGGGCCUACUCUGCGUGCUCAGAGUUCAAGCCCAGCAGGCUGCAGCGGGCCUGACAUAUUCUGGAACAGCAGCACAGUCUUUAGAUGACUCCUCUGAAGAUGAAAACAUGGCGAGUUCUUCUCAAGAGAAGCAGUACAGGUGUGCCUCAGCUCCACGCUCCCUCCUGCAGCCUCCGCUCCUGAUGCUAACCUCAUGUCUCCAUCACACCAAGCAGCAGACCUGGAUUGACAGACCUUUCUCCAGAGCUGCCCCCUCCCUCUGAAACCCCCCUCUCCAAAACACUAUUUGUGUAGUUUUUAAAGUCUUAUUU